rnacentral:rRNA from 1 species
UCGUGUCGUGAGAUGUUGGGUUAAGUCCCGCAACAAGCGCAACCCUCACCCCUUGUUGCCAUCAGGUGAUGCUGGGCACUCUAGGGGAACUGCCCCGGUCAACGGGGAGGAAGGUGGGGAUGACGUCAAGUCAUCAUGCCCCUUACGCCCUGGGCUACACACGUGCUACAAUGGCCGGUACAAAGGGAUGCAAUACCGCGAGGUGGAGCUAAACCCAGAAAGCCGGUCUAAGUUCAGAUUGGAGUCUGCAACUCGACUCCAUGAAGGAGGAAUCGCUAGUAAUCGC